UCAUUUAACUUUAUAUCAGUGUAGUUCUUGUUCUCCUCAUAUCCACGGUCUACGUCUUCACCAUUGUGUUUAUUACUCACGAAACACUCUUGUUUUUCUCUUCCCCCUUAAAACUAAUCAGAUACGGACCUCAGAAUACGACACGCGAACUUCCCACGAGUCUACCGCUUGGCCACGCGCGCGCACACGCACUACACUGCGCGUGCUCGCGGACGCGCGUCACUUACUGGCCUGACCGUGCACGCGCCGCGCUGACAGCACCUAGCCGCGGGGCGAGGCGCGCGCUGACAGGAGGCAGGAGCGCGCGGCCGCUCACUAAUGACACGCGCUGUGCCUCCCUCACUCCGCGCCGCUUCUUCGGCGAACGCGCAGCUCCAACCACGACAAAACUGACGGAGUGACGAAAAGUUUUGGCAGACAGAGAAAGAAACUUUCUGUAACAAGGUGACAGCACUCGAGGCAGGCAGCUGUCCAGUCUGCGGACCGUCUCCAGAGAGAGAAAGGGAGGACAGGAAAUAGAGAGGAAAGACACACAGAGCGCGCGCGAGAGAGAGAAAGGAGGAAAACAGAGUACCCAGAGGAAACCCCUGAAGCACGGGGAGAGCAUGCAAACUCCACACACACAGGGUGAAGGCGGAAAUCGAACCCCCAACCCUGGACGUGCGAGGCAAACGUGUUAAUCACUAAGCCACUGUGGGACUAAUUUGUUGGAUUUCAUAACUCCAGGGCUUAUGGACUGCCAAGGUGAUGUAGAACAUUCACUGUAUGGUCAUGUGUGCCUGGAUGAUGUCCAUAGACAACCACUCCCAUUUGAGGAAACCUAAAACCUAAACAAUACUAGUCUGCCAUCACUUUAUUGGUUUGACCCGGACUGGGUCGUAACAUCAGAGUCUCUCAGGCAGAACAGACACAACAUGCCAAAGCAGCCAUUUACCUAACAGAAAAAUGACUUUCAAAAGCCACCACUGCGCCCUGGCUCUCCUUUAAAGCCACAUUUGACAAGGAUCUCAUUUGGAUGCUCAAUAUUGCCGUCAUCAAACAGUCAGCCAUCUCAGCCAUCCUGUUCAUCAUAGCAGCAUCACUUUUGCACUGCAGUUCGAUUACGGCCCUUGAGGACAUUUUGCUCCUAUAGAUACUACACAGGAAGUGCGAAGAAUGGAGAUCUUUGGAGCUUCUUUUUCUGUUGAUUAAAAUGAGAAUUUAUGUAAGGGUUUGUGUAUAAACUUUAAUGCACAUAGGACACAUGUCUGUUCAUUACUGAGAGUCUCACAAUAAAAUGUACUAUAUUAACAGUUCAGUGCAACAAUGAU